rnacentral:rRNA from 1 species
AGAUUGAACGCUGGCGGCAGGCCUAACACAUGCAAGUCGAGCGGCAGCACGGGUACUUGUACCUGGUGGCGAGCGGCGGACGGGUGAGUAAUGCCUAGGAAUCUGCCUGGUAGUGGGGGAUAACGCUCGGAAACGGACGCUAAUACCGCAUACGUCCUACGGGAGAAAGCAGGGGACCUUCGGGCCUUGCGCUAUCAGAUGAGCCUAGGUCGGAUUAGCUAGUUGGUGAGGUAAUGGCUCACCAAGGCGACGAUCCGUAACUGGUCUGAGAGGAUGAUCAGUCACACUGGAACUGAGACACGGUCCAGACUCCUACGGGAGCAGCAGUGGGAAUAUUGGACAAGUGGGCGAAAGCCUGAUCCAGCCAUGCCGCGUGUGUGAAGAAGUCUUCGGAUUGUAAGCACUUUAAGUGGAGAAGGCUAUUUACGUAAUACGUAAGUGUUUGACGUUACGAUAGAAUAAGCACCGGCUAACGUCUGUGCCAGUCACGG